rnacentral:rRNA from 1 species
GAUGAACGCUGGCGGCGUGCUUAACACAUGCAAGUCGAACGAAGCACUUAAGAUUGAGAUUUCGGUUGAUUGAUUAAGUGACUUAGUGGCGGACGGGUGAGUAACGCGUGGGUAACCUGCCUCGUACAGGGGGAUAACAGUUAGAAAUGACUGCUAAUACCGCAUAACCCGCUAAGGUCGCAUGACCUGGACGGAAAAGAUUUAUCGGUACGAGAUGGACCCGCGUCUGAUUAGCUAGUUGGUGAGGUAACGGCCCACCAAGGCGACGAUCAGUAGCCGGCCUGAGAGGGUGAACGGCCACAUUGGGACUGAGACACGGCCCAAACUCCUACGGGAGGCAGCAGUGGGGAAUAUUGCACAAUGGGGGAAACCCUGAUGCAGCGACGCCGCGUGAGUGAAGAAGUAUUUCGGUAUGUAAAGCUCUAUCAGCAGGGAAGAAAAUGACGGUACCUGACUAAGAAGCCCCGGCUAACUACGUG